rnacentral:misc_RNA from 1 species
GUCGAAUCCAAAGUUCCUCCCAUUUCCUACUUUUUUCUCUUGACUCUGUUUCUUAUCUAUAUUCCAAGCUCCCUUGCUAUUCGACCAAAUUAUGAUCUCUCUGGACACUUCUCCUUAAAACCCAUCAAUUCCACCAUCUUCACCCACAACAGCGGUGGUGUAAACGGUGUUCGUAUGGUCAAACUCUUUAGACCCGGGACUGAGUUUGAAAAAGGCCGCGUUAUCGGCGAACAUCCCAUCAAACCCCCCC